GCCGGCGUAGCUCAAUUGGCAGAGCAUCUGUCUUGUAAACAGAAGGUUAAGGGUUCAAGUCCCUUCGUCGGCU
rnacentral:tRNA from 1 species